UCUCCUGGAACUCCCUCCUUCUGCCGCCCUCUCCCGCGCCACCCAGCCCCCUACCCGCCACCGCGUCCCGGGUCCGCGCAUUCCCGCCCGAGCGCCCCGCGCAGGGCUCGGAGAGGCGCGCGGCUCCCGCCCGAGGCGCAGGGCACGCCCGCGAGCCGUUUGGCCCCGCCGCCGCUCUCCCGGCCUCGCUCCCUUCGGUCCCGGCUGCUCCGGGGCGGCCCAGACUGGGAGCGGGUUCGGGCUCGGGCACCGUGUGCUUGGGGUUUCCUUUCCUCUCCUCUGGGCUCACGUUCCUCUGCCCUUUCCCACCCUCCCGACCCCGAGCGUCGUCUCGGUGCCCGCAGGCAGGCCCGACUCUCCGAUGCCACCUGCCGCUCGGGGCCGCCGCCGGGGCUGCACCGAUCCCAGACGCCCCGAGGCGGGUAGGGUUUCCCGGUAAGCGGCUCCUUCCCCAGCCCUGUACUCAGCAAGGCUCCCGGAAGCUGACUUUCCAGAGGCUUCUGCGGAAGGGCUCUCCCUCCUUUUCAGAUAGCGGAGGAAACUGAGCGGGAUCGUGUUCCUUGCUCUACACUGAAAAAAUGUUUUCUUUUACAUCUGGUCUGGCAAGCGGAGCAUUUGUAGAAGAGUCCAAAGAAGGAGAAAAUGUCAAAGAAACACCUAUUCCCAGAUUCUGCUUACAGAUGGACUUCUUAGUAGUGUUUGUUUUUUGAUUGUAAUGGAAAUAUAUGUUCAUUACAGGAUAAACCCAUGAAGAUAAAAAAGAAGGGGGAGGGGAAGGAAGAUUCAAUAAUCAAAUCGCCCAAAGUACAACUUUCAGUACCAUUCUGGUACGCUUUCUUCCAACCUUUUUCUCUGUAUGGUUUACAAAGCUACACUCUGUAAAUUACAAUUUUAUAUCCCCUAUAUGUCAGAAAACAUAAAUAUUUCCCUUCACAGA